rnacentral:rRNA from 1 species
AAUCCGGUUGAUCCUGCCGGACCUGACUGCUAUCGGAUUGAUACUAAGCCAUGCGAGUCAUUGUAGCAAUACAAGGCAGACGGCUCAGUAACGCGUAGUCAACCUAACCUAUGGACGGGAAUAACCUCGGGAAACUGAGUAUAAUGCCCGAUAGAACACUAUACCUGGAAUGGUUUGUGUUCCAAAUGAUUUAUCGCCGUAGGAUGGGACUGCGGCCUAUCAGUUUGUUGGUGAGGUAAUGGCCCACCAAGACUAUUACAGGUACGGGCUCUGAGAGG